rnacentral:rRNA from 1 species
GACGAACGCUGGCGGCGUGCCUAAUACAUGCAAGUCGAGCGGACUUUCAAGAAGCUUGCUUUUUGAAAGUUAGCGGCGGACGGGUGAGUAACACGUGGGCAACCUGCCUGUAAGACGGGGAUAACUCCGGGAAACCGGGGCUAAUACCGGAUAAUAUCUUUCUUCGCAUGAAGGAAGGUUGAAAGGCGGCGCAAGCUGCCGCUUGCAGAUGGGCCCGCGGCGCAUUAGCUAGUUGGUGAGGUAACGGCUCACCAAGGCGACGAUGCGUAGCCGACCUGAGAGGGUGAUCAGCCACACUGGGACUGAGACACGGCCCAGACUCCUGCGGGAGGCAGCAGUAGGGAAUCUUCCGCAAUGGACGAAAGUCUGACGGAGCAACGCCGCGUGAGCGAAGAAGGUCUUCGGAUCGUAAAGCUCUGUUGUCAGGGAAGAACAAGUACCGUUCGAAUAGGGCGGUACCUUGACGGUACCUGACCAGAAAGCCACGGCUAACUACGUGCCAGCAGCCGCAGUAA